rnacentral:rRNA from 1 species
CCUACGGGUGGCAGCAGUCGAGAAUCAUUCACAAUGGGGGAAACCCUGAUGGUGCGACGCCGCGUGGGGGAAUGAAGGUCUUCGGAUUGUAAACCCCUGUCAUGUGGGAGUAAAUUAAAAAGAUAGUACCACAAGAGGAAGAGCCGGCUAACUCGGUGCCAGCAGCCGCGGUAAUACAGAGGUCUCAAGCGUGGUUCGGAAUCACUGGGCGGAAAGCGUGCGGAGGCUGUUUCGUAAGUCGUGUGUGAAAGGCGCGGGCUCAACCCGCGGACGGCAGAUGAUACUGCGAGACUAGAGUAAGAGAGGGGGAACCGGAAUUCUCGGUGUAGCAGUGAAAUGCGUAGAUAUCGGGAAGAACACUCGUGGCGAAGGCAGGUUCCUGGACAUUAACUGACGCUGAGGCACGAAGGCCAGGGGAGCGAAAGGGAUUAGAUACCCGAGUAGUC